UACGGCGGCCAUAGCGGCAGGGAAACGCCCGGUCCCAUGCCGAACCCGGAAGCUAAGCCUGCCAGCGCCGAUGAUACUGCCCCUCCGGGGUGGAAAAGUAGGGCACCGCCGAAC
rnacentral:rRNA from 1 species